UGCGCAUGCGCAAGGCCUGAGCCUCCGCUUUGGUCGUAGUGAUUGCCACUGUUGCCGUGGAUGGGUCCCUGAGACUUUGCGAAGUAGGAGCCCUGUGUGAUAGUGCGUCAGAGUCGGGCCUGAGAGCAGUCCUGGCCAGGGCUUUAACAGGAUGGUCUCCGGAGCCUGGGAUUCUCGGAGGGCUGACCACCAGGAAGAAACCUCAGAAGGUAAGAUUGGGGAAGAUGCCAGGUGAUAGAAUCCACCCUGCCUCUGACAGCAUCCAAUCUGGAGCAAAGGCUUCUUUCAACCUUCCCCCAAGCUCCCAAUACAAGCCCAAAUUCUGGAACAAGUCCUUUCCAACACCUCCUUCAGAGAAGCUCCCUGGCUCCAGGCAGUGCUUGCUCCCCUCACUGCAGCAGGAAGCCUAACUUGCGAACUGCAGGUGUGCUCCAGGUGGUCACUGGAUGCAAGGGUCUGUGAAAUGGUGGGGGCUUACAAAUCGGUGCAGCUUGGACUAACAGGCUCCGGCGGCCACUUUGUUUUCUGGACAUGCUUUGGACUGUGAGCCGAGCCUCUAUGAAUCAUCACUUCAGCCUCUGAUUGGUCCUGGGCCAAACUUUCACUUCAGCCCCUGAUUGGUCUUGGGCCAAAAUUUCACUUCAGCCUCUGAUUGGUCCCAGGCUAAGGUCCCGGGCCAAGCGAAGUCGUGCUAUCUCCAAGACAGCUCACAGACCAGUGAGCACAUUCUUCCUCUUCCCAGUUCACAAAACCCCCAGAUUCAGCCUCCUAGUUGGCAACCCUCUUUCGGGUCCCCUCUCUGCUGGGGAGAGCUUUCUUCUUUUGCUUAUUAAACUUCUGUUCCAAACUCA
rnacentral:lncRNA from 1 species